rnacentral:rRNA from 1 species
CCUACGGGAGGCAGCAGUGAGGAAUAUUGGUCAAUGGGCGCGAGCCUGAACCAGCCAAGUCGCGUGAAGGAUGAAUGCCCUACGGGUUGAAAACUUCUUUUAUAAAGGAAUACAGUGAGGCACGUGUGCCUUUUUGUCUGCACUUUAUGACUUAGGAUCGGCUAACUCCGUGCCAGCAGCCGCGGUAAUACGGAGGAUUCGAGCGUUAUCCGGUGUUAUUGGGUUUAAGGGGAGCGUAGAGGGGUUGUUAAGUCAGGUGUGAACGUCUGCGGUUCAACCUUAAAAUUGCAAUUGAUACUGGCAGUCUUGAGUACAGUUGAGGUAGGCGGAAUUCGUGGUGUAGCGGUGAAAUGCUUAGAUAUCACGAAGAACUCCGAUUGCGAAGGCAGCUUACUAAACUGCCACUGACAGUGAUGCUCGAAAGUGUGGGUAGCAAACAGGAUUAGAUACCCUGGUAGUC